GGCGUCUGGAAAGUUUUUCGGUCAAGGAUGGACUCGCGGCCUAUCAGCUAGUUGGUGAGGUAACGGCUCACCAAGGCGUCGACGGGUAGCCGGCCUGAGAGGGCGACCGGCCACACUGGGACUGAGACACGGCCCAGACUCCUACGGGAGGCAGCAGUGGGGAAUAUUGCACAAUGGGCGAAAGCCUGAUGCAGCGACGCCGCGUGAGGGAUGAAGGCCUUCGGGUUGUAAACCUCUUUCAGUAGGGAAGAAGCGACUGGGUUCUCUCAGACGUGACGGUACCUGCAGAAGAAGCGCCGGCUAACUACGUGCCAGCAGCCGCGGUAAUACGUAGGGCGCAAGCGUUGUCCGGAAUUAUUGGGCGUAAAGAGCUCGUAGGCGGUUUGUCGCGUCUGGUGUGAAAACUCAAGGCUCAACCUUGAGCUUGCAUCGGGUACGGGCAGACUAGAGUGUGGUAGGGGUGACUGGAAUUCCUGGUGUAGCGGUGGAAUGCGCAGAUAUCAGGAGGAACACCGAUGGCGAAGGCAGGUCACUGGGCCACUACUGACGCUGAGGAGCGAAAGCGUGGGGAGCAAACAGGAUUAAGC
rnacentral:rRNA from 1 species